AUUCGCCACCACCAAACAUGCACAUAAUAUAUCAAUUCUAUCAUCAAUUUAUAUUGAAACUAUCAACCGUAGACAACAACAAGUUUUGUUAGUCUCAAUCUUUCCUUAGUGUGUCGUUAGGCAAAACAAGCUCUUCACCUAAUCUCUAACCAUUAAAUAAUUUAAAACAAGCUCUUUAAAUUUAAGAUAAUGGAAGCAUUAAACAGAGAAUGAUAUUAGGUUGAUUUAGGCAAUAAAUACACAAGCUCGGAUUAUUUAACCUAG
rnacentral:lncRNA from 1 species